AGAGUUUGAUCAUGGCUCAGGACGAACGCUGGCGGCGUGCUUAACACAUGCAAAGUCGAACGGUGAUGAUGGGGGCUUGCCCUGUCUGAUCAGUGGCGAACGGGUGAGUAACACAUGAGUAACCUGCCCCUGACUCUGGGAUAACCCCGGGAAAUCGGAGCUAAUACCGGAUACGAGACGUACAGGCAUCUGUUGCGUCUGGAAAGAAUUUCGGUCGGGGAUGGGCUCGCGGCCUAUCAGCUAGUUGGUGGGGUAGUGGCCUACCAAGGCGACGACGGGUAGCCGGCCUGAGAGGGCGACCGGCCACACUGGGACUGAGACACGGCCCAGACUCCUACGGGAGGCAGCAGUGAGGAAUCUUGCGCAAUGGGGGAAACCCUGACGCAGCCACGCCGCGUGGGUGAAGAAGGUCUUCGGAUCGUAAAGCCCUGUCAGGUGGGAAGAACCCGCAGUCGGGGUGAAUAAUCUGGGCUGCCUGACGGUACCACCAAAGGAAGCACCGGCUAACUCCGUGCCAGCCGCCGCGGUAAUA
rnacentral:rRNA from 1 species